UACGGAGGGGGCUAGCGUUGCUCGGAAUCACUGGGCGUAAAGGGUGCGUAGGCGGGUCUUUAAGUCAGGGGUGAAAUCCUGGAGCUCAACUCCAGAACUGCCUUUGAUACUGAGGAUCUUGAGUUCGGGAGAGGUGAGUGGAACUGCGAGUGUAGAGGUGAAAUUCGUAGAUAUUCGCAAGAACACCAGUGGCGAAGGCGGCUCACUGGCCCGAUACUGACGCUGAGGCACGAAAGCGUGGGGAGCAAACAGG
rnacentral:rRNA from 1 species